UAAGCGGAGGAAAAGAAACUAACAAGGAUUCCCCUAGUAACGGCGAGCGAAGCGGGAAGAGCUCAAAUUUGAAAGCUGGCGUCUUCGGCGUCCGCGUUGUAAUCUCGAGACGUGUUUUCCGUGCGGCUCUAUGGACAAGUCCCUUGGAACAGGGCAUCGUAGAGGGUGAAAAUCCCGUACUUGCCAUGGAAGUACCGUGCUUUGUGAUACACGCUCCAAGAGUCGAGUAGUUUGGGAUUGCUGCUCAAAGUGGGUGGUAGACUCCAUCUAAAGCUAAAUAUCGGGGAGAGACCGAUAGCGAACAAGUACCGUGAGGGAAAGAUGAAAAGCACUUUGGAAAGAGAGUUAAAAGUACGUGAAAUUGUCGAAAGGGAAGCACUUGAAGUCAGCCAUGCUGCUUGAGACUCAGCCUGGCUUUUGCUUGGUGUAUUUCUCGGUAGCAAGCCAGCAUUGGUUUGUGUCGUCGGAGAAGCGUAUGGGGAAUGUGGCAUCCUCGGAUGUGUUAUAGCCCUGUGCAGGAUACGACGACGUAGACCAAGGAACGCAGUGUGCCCUCUGGGCGGGUCUUCGGACACCUUCACACUUAGGAUGCUGGCGUAAUGGCUUU
rnacentral:rRNA from 1 species